ACCAAAUUCCUCAGCGCUCUCUCACACUCCUCUGCGGCCAGGACUCCGGGGGUGGGGACACAGAGCUGGGUUCCUCCCCGCAGAAGUCCUCUCGGUUCCUUCUCACAGCUCUGCGAAGGGGAAAAGGAGUGUAAGACUCAACCAGCCCCCGGACUCCCGCUCCCAGCACGAGGUGGCCGCUCCGCCCUCCACCCCCGGGGGCCCACUGGUUUGGGGCUCGCGCUCGCUCGCUCUCUGUCCCUCUCUCUCUCUCUCUCUCUCUCUGAUCCUCUCCCCCAAACAUGUCCACCGGCUCCCUCAGCGAUGUGGAGGACCUCCAAGAGGUGGAGAUGCUGGACUGCGACGGGCUGAAAAUGGACUCGGGCAAGGAGUUUGUGACUUCCAACGAGAGCACCGAGGAGAGCUCCAACUGCGAGGCGGGGUCGCCCCAGAAGGGCCGCGGAGGCCUGGGCAAGAGGAGGAAGGCGCCCACCAAGAAGAGCCCCUUGGGCGGCGUCAGCCAGGAGGGGAAGCAGGUCCAGCGCAACGCGGCCAACGCGCGCGAGAGGGCCCGGAUGCGGGUGCUGAGCAAGGCCUUCUCCAGGCUCAAGACCACCUUGCCCUGGGUGCCCCCGGACACCAAGCUCUCCAAGCUGGACACGCUCAGGCUGGCGUCCAGCUACAUCGCGCACUUGAGGCAGAUCCUGGCGAACGACAAGUACGAGAACGGUUACAUUCACCCGGUCAACCUGACGUGGCCCUUUAUGGUGGCCGGGAAACCCGAGAGUGACCUGAAAGAAGUGGUGACCGCGAGCCGCUUAUGUGGAACCACAGCAUCCUGACCUUGGAGGUUUGCAGGUUGCUUUGAAGACAAUUAUAAAUAAUGUAGUCGUGAACCCAAACGGGCAGUGUUGAAGUUACCAACAGUGACACGAUUCGAGGGAAAAGCACACCAGAAAAGGAAAAUCCGCUUUUCGUGUCUUCGCAGUGUAAUUCAUGACACGGGCACUCAGCCUUAAUAAGACCCAGAGGAGAUUAUAUUUGUGUAAUUGCUUUAUAAAGGAAAAGAUCUGUGCAAAUAUCAGUGAUUUUCACUAAGUGGCCAGAAAUGAGCUGUCCAUGCCUGACCCGACCUGAAAGUGUCUCAGCCAGGAAGCCCGAAGGGGGACGUUGAUGCUGCUGGCCCAGGAACCGCACGUUGAGAAUCACUGUUUGGGGAUCUGUCGCAAGGAAACCAAAGAAGCGAAUGCAGAGACAAAGAAAAUAUUUGGGAAAUUUUUUCUCAAGGGGUUGCACGUUCUGAGACAGAUUUCGGUCCUCAGUCUACGAGUUACAGACCUGGAUGGAUUAAGGUCCUGCUGCUGUUGGCUCCUUUGCGACCCCUAAGGGGGAGAGAAAUAUGGGCACCCGGCAUCCACGCCCCCUGCGACUCCCUGGUUGCGCAGAAGGUCCAGCGAAGAUUUCCCUUUCAUUCCAGUGGUAGGAGGAGGAUUGGCUCCGGGAUGGGGCCCUGGGCGUCGGGCGGGCUCGUGGGAAGUCCGCCCGAGUUGGGACGCAGGGGCGCCGGAGGGGUGGUGAGCGCCGGGUGUGGCUCGCAGGCUGGGCGGGGCCCCGAGCCCAGAGGACGCGUGGGGAAAGGCGGGUUUUCCUCCGCGGCUUUUCCACGCCCCCCCCCCCCCCCCCCCCCCCGCCGAGCUGAUGGAAGAAGGCAGGAGGAGAAGGAAGGGCGCUCCGAGCUCCGAGCUGCAGCCUACACGGCCUUUUCCGGGAGCCGCCUCCGCAACAGCGGGGUACGUGUUCGGACCGCCCCGCGCGGAGGCGCCACCCGGGGAGGAUUCUCGGGUUAGGACCCGGCACAGCCACCGAGGGGAGGCGCCCGCCCCACGCCGUUGGCGAGCGGAGCUUCCUUUCCUGGCUCUGCAUCCUUCCCUCCAGAUGCUGGCUGUGCCCCUGCAAGCUCGCGAGCUGCGAGCUGCCGGCUGCAUCGAGAGCUCCUCUGGUCCCGCUGGGCUGCACGCGCCUUUGAUCUUCAGAUCCGGGCGGGCUCCGCGGGGGCCCCCCUUCUCCCCGGUCAUGGUCACGGAAGGAUUACCCACCCCCCGGACAGGGCUUAAAAUCCCCUCCCCAGGGCAGAGGGAGGAGAAAGGAGUGAAAAGGUGGAGAGAACUGCCGUUUAGAACACAGUAGAGAGCCGACUUCUCCGAGGAACAACUUCAUCCUUGUCCCCCAGCACCCAGCGUGGCGGUGCCCGACUCCUCCAGAAAUGUGGAAUCAAGAUGGAAUCAUUGACUGUCCGAGGCUAUGGUGAAGGAAGCUGGGGCAGAGAAACUGACAGCAGGGCUGUUGCUGUGCUCGAAUUGAAACUGAACUCUUACCAUGAAGUCUCCGUACAUAUUUGAUAGAAGCAUAGACAAGCAGACAUGAUGGGAGUAGGUGGCGCCCCCCCCCCCCCCGCCCCCGACGCUCAGAUGAAAUCUGUUCUUUUUUUCCCUUCCAGUAGAAGAUGACAUUAUUGGUUGUGAAUUUAUAUGGCCCUUGGGUCAGAAUCAUUAGCUUAAAAGGAGCUUUGAGUAGCAAAAUAAUAUGAGACACCUUAUAAAAAUAAAAUGAUCCCAGGACCUUAUUUUAAAAUUAAUCCAGUUGGUGAUAUUAAUCCAGUUGAAUUAAUCCAGUUGAAUUAAUCCAGUUAUCCAGUUGGUGAUAAGGAAGUAGUUGGUUGCCUUUUAAGGAUGCAGUUAGAUCUUCAUCUAGUGAAUGGUAUAGUGGAAAGAGCUUUUGAUUAAGUCCUUGAACUGGAGACUUGACCAUUUAGACCUUGGUUCUUCCAUCUAUAAAAUGAGUAUAAUAAUGACUCCUUUGAUAACAUAAUGUCUAGUGCAUGUUAGACACUAAUUAAUAUUUAUUGUUCUCCUCUCUUCUCCCCUUCUUCUGGACCUUAAGUUAUAAAAGUGCCUCAACGAAUGAUACGCAUUUACCCUAAACGGUUAUCUAGCCAGUGGUAAACAAUAUUAAAUUCUUGUGAUGAUCUAAUCACCUCGGGUUAUCUUGAAUGUGAUUAAGACAGGUUACAUUCAAGUGUUGUCUUUUUUCAGUGAGACUUCACCACCUUAGGUGCAGUGGAAGCUACUCGAAAUUCUGUAUUUUUCAGCCUUUAUCACUUUAUCAAUAGCAGGUAAUUCUUAUUUUGUUUCAUUUCUCUGUUUAUGUAUCAAGUUGUGUGUAUCUUCUCUAGCUCUAUGAGAACAAGGGCGAUCUGAGGCUCGUUCGCCUUGGUUUUCCCAGUACCUAGCACAGGGACAGGCACAUGGCAAGUGCUUGAAGAAGAAUGAAUGCAAAAAGCUUAAUAAGUUUCUUAGAGAUGUCUCUGUGUGGUAAGUUCAUGUUGCAUUGCUGUAACCACAGGCUGGUUGACAUAUAUUGUCUAAUCUUAAUUUUAGAAUCUGGUGAUGAACACUUACUCUGUAAUAAUUUAAAAAGUCACCACCAAUUCCAUCAAAAGGGAAUUACCUUGACACAUUGGUCCUCAUCAUAUUAGGAUUUUUUUUUUUUUUUGCACUGAAACCCAGGAAAGGUCUAUAUUAAGUAUUGUGUCUUUCAGAACAUUGUGGGUCUCCCUUCAACAUCCUUACCAUCACUGGGGAGUGGUCACCUCUACAUUGUUCUGCUUGGUUCCUGGGGUCUUUGACUAGUCAAUUUCAUUAGAAUUCCUUUUUCUUCUGCAUUUUAUGUGAAUACCACCACCUUCUGCUGCCCCCUAAUCUCUUUCUUUCAGGCAUCUGUCACCCACUCAAUAGCUCCUUCCUCCACCAUUUUUUUUUUUUUUUCUUAACAAGCUUUCUUUUUCUCCCCACCAAGG